GACCGCGUGGCUUAAUGGAUAAGCGCUGGCUUUCGGAUCCGAAGAUUGCCGGUUCGAGUCCUGUCGUGGUCG